rnacentral:rRNA from 1 species
GUAACACGUAGUCAACCUGCCCUAGAGACAUGGACAACCCCGGGAAACUGGGAUUAAUCCGUGAUAGGUCACCUCAUCUGGAAGGAGAGAUGGCUUAAAGGGGUGCGAGAGCUUCUUUCUUGCAUUCGCUCCAGGAUGGGACUGCGGCCGAUCAGGCUGUUGGCGGUGUAAUGGACCACCAAACCUGUAACCGGUACGGGCCUUGAGAGAGGGGGCCCGGAGAUGGACACUGAGAGAAGGGUCCAGGUCCUACGGGGCGCAGCAGGCGCGAAACCUUCGCAAUGCGCGAAAGCGUGACGAGGUUAAUCCGAGUGGUCCCCGCUGAGGGGAUCUUUUGUUGGCUGUAAAAAGGCCGAUGAAUAAGGGGAGGGCAAGUCUGGUGUCAGCCGCCGCGGUAAUACCAGCUCCUCGAGUGGUCGGGGCGAUUAUUGGGCUUAAAGCAUCCGUAGCCGGUUCUGUAGGUCCUCUGUCAAAUCCAACGGCUUAACCGUUGGCCCGCAGAGGAUACCGCAGGACU